rnacentral:rRNA from 1 species
GUGUCAGCAGCCGCGCGGUAAUACCCGCAGCUCGAGUGGUGGUCGCUUUUAUUGAGCCUAAAACGUUCGUAGUCGGCCUUGUAAAUCCCUGGGUAAAUCGGACCGCUUAACGGUUCGAAUUCCGGGGAGACUGCAAGGCUAGGGACCGGGCGAGGUCAGAGGUACUUUCGGGGUAGGAGUGAAAUCCUGUAAUCCCGAAGGGACCACCUGUGGCGAAAGCGUCUGACUUGAACGGCUCCGACGAUGAGGAACGAAGGCUAGGGGAGCAAACCGGAUUAGAUACCCGGGUAGUCCUAGCUGUAAACUCUGCCCGCUUGGUGUGGCCUGUCCUUCGGGGGCAGGCUGUGCCGGAGCGAAGGUGUUAAGCGGGCUGCUUGGGGAGUACGGCCGCAAGGUUGAAACUUAAAGGAAUUGGCGGGGGAGCACCGCAACGGGAGGAUGCGUGCGGUUUAAUUGGAUUCAACGCCGGAAAACUCACCUGAGGAGACCAGCGUAUGUGGGUCAAGCCGAAGACUUUACCCGAACAACAGCUGGAGAGGUGGUGCAUGGCCAUCGUCAGCUCGUACCGUAGGGCAUUCACUUAAGUGUGAUAACGAGCGAGACCCCCAUCCCUAGUUGCUAACCCCUCCGAAAGGAGAGGUGCACUCU